rnacentral:rRNA from 1 species
CUUGCACUUGACUGAAACCGGCAAACGGGUGAGUAACACGUAUGCAACUUACCUCCAUCUGGGGGAAUAGCUCCGGGAAACUGGAAAUAAUACCCCAUAGUAUCGGGAAUUCGCAUGAUGACCCGAUUAAAGUUCCGGCGGAUGGAGAUAGGCGUGCGUCUGAUUAGGUAGUUGGUGAGGUAACGGCUCACCAAGCCUUCGAUCAGUAGCUGAUGUGAGAGCAUGAUCAGCCACACGGGCACUGAGACACGGGCCCGACUCC